AAUUUUUGUAACUACUUGUGGUGCCAAGAUUUUGGGUGCCAACAUCUCACCAGUAAUGGGUUGACUGGUGGAAGAUUGGGAAACACCGGGAGUUUCAAGAGUACACUGUGGACCUUCUUCUGUUGUUUUUGCUUUUAUCAUAGUAGAUAAAUUAGAAAGCAUCAAUUCAAAGCUAUCUAACUUGUCCAGCUUUUGCCUGUGCUGCAAUAAUUCAUCCCACAUUCCAUUAAUUUUUCUAUCCUAUUACUCUCUUUCCAUAUUAAAUCGUUUAAAUGAUUCUUCCAAUGCGGACAUGCUCCUCUCUA
rnacentral:misc_RNA from 1 species